rnacentral:misc_RNA from 1 species
UGUAGGGGUGCAUGUAGGCACGGUCCUUGUGAUGCGGUACGUGAUGGUGUGUGAGUGGUAUUUGGUUUGUGUGGUUGGCGGGCUCUUUGCUUGUGCAUUGGACCGUUCACCCAACAUUACCUUUUCAUUGUAUGCUGCAAGUGCACCAUUUUGCCUUGGGCGACGUGUGGUCCCUAUGUUAGAUUCCGAUUAAUGGUAUUGUUGUUGUCCCUUUAAAGAGUGAUAUUCGCUCUACGUCCGUAAAAGGAGGUCGAGCGGACCAUGAAACUUGACUCGUUAUCCUCCUGUUUUGUGAAAACAAGCAUGAUAGGGUUGGAUUAUGAUCUCAAGUUGGGCCCUAGGAUACAGAAAGUUGUGUGGGAGUUGAUGUUAAAACGUCGCAAACCCAAAGCGUUGGUACGCUAACGAUGGAUGACAUUCGAGUGUGUUGUGAUUCUUUCAUUCUAGAAAGGUUCAUGCGCGCCGAUGUCGACCAAGGAGUGCUACCCUGGUUGAUCCUG